AUUGAACGCUGGCGGCAGGCCUAACACAUGCAAGUCGAACGAGUGGCGGACGGGUGAGUAAUGUCUGGGAAACUGCCUGAUGGAGGGGGAUAACUACUGGAAACGGUCGCUAAUACCGCAUACCCUCAGAUGUGCCCAGAUGGGAUUAGCUUGUUGGUGGGGUAACGGCUCACCAAGGCGAAGAUCCCUCGCUGGUCUGAGAGGAUGACCAGCCAAACUGGAACUGAGACACGGUCCAGAACCCUCAGGGAGGGAGGAGGGGGGAAUAUUUCACAAUGGGCGGAAGCCGGAUGCAGCCAUGCCGGGUGUUUGAAGAAGGCCUUCGGGUUUUAAAGUAACUUCAGCCGGGAGGCGUUACCCGCAGAAGAAGCACCGGCUAACUCCGUGCCAGCCGCCGCGGUAAUAC
rnacentral:rRNA from 1 species